GUGUCCCCUAGAGUUCUCCUGAACACUUCAAUGGGACUUUCUUUGAAAGCACUUCCCAGUGAAGUGUUUGGGGGAACUCCUGGUGUCGC
rfam:Eucalyptus grandis cultivar BRASTZ1 unplaced genomic scaffold scaffold_3, whole genome shotgun sequence.